ACGAACGCUGGCGGCGUGCUUAACACAUGCAAGUCGAACGGAAAGGCCCUGCUUGCAGGGUACUCGAGCGGCGAACGGGUGAGUAACACGUGGGUGAUCUGCCCUGCACUUCGGGAUAAGCUUGGGAAACUGGGUCUAAUACCGGAUAGGAGCCAUCUUUAGUGUGGUGGUUGGAAAGUUUUUUCGGUGUAGGAUGAGCUCGCGGCCUAUCAGCUUGUUGGUGGGGUAAUGGCCUACCAAGGCGGCGACGGGUAGCCGGCCUGAGAGGGUGUACGGCCACAUUGGGACUGAGAUACGGCCCAGACUCCUACGGGAGGCAGCAGUGGGGAAUAUUGCACAAUGGGCGCAAGCCUGAUGCAGCGACGCCGCGUGGGGGAUGAAGGCCUUCGGGUUGUAAACUCCUUUCGCUAGGGACGAAGCUUUGUGUGACGGUACCUAGAUAAGAAGCACCGGCUAACUACGUG
rnacentral:rRNA from 1 species